rnacentral:misc_RNA from 1 species
UCCGGUUUGUCACCGGCAGUCUGGCGUGAGUCCCCAACUUAAUGCUGGCAACACGCCACGGGGGUUGCGCUCGUUGCGGGACUUAACCCAACAUCUCACGACACGAGCUGACGACAGCCAUGCAGCAUCUCUGCACAGACCUCCGAAGAGGGGCCCUCAUCUCUGAGGGUUUCCUGUGCAGUUCAAACCCAGGUAAGGUUCUGCGCGUUGCUUCGAAUUAAACCACAUACUCCACCGCUUGUGCGGGCCCCCGUCAAUUCCUUUGAGUUUCAGUCUUGCGACCGUACUCCCCAGGCGGCGAACUUAACGCGUUAGCUUCGAUACUGAAGGCCUGAUUGCCCCCAACAUCCAGUUCGCAUCGUUUAGGGCGUGGACUAC